rnacentral:rRNA from 1 species
AGUGAACGCUGGCGGUAGGCCUAACACAUGCAAGUCGAACGGCAGCACAGGAGAGCUUGCUCUCUGGGUGGCGAGUGGCGGACGGGUGAGGAAUACAUCGGAAUCUACUCUGUAGUGGGGGAUAACGUAGGGAAACUUACGCUAAUACCGCAUAAGCCCUACGGGUGGAAGCAGGGGACCUUCGGGCCUUGCGCGUAGGAAUGAGCCGAUGUCGGAUUAGCUAGUUGGCGGGGUAAAGGCCCACCGAGGCGACGAUCCGUAGCUGGUCUGAGAGGAUGAUCAGCCACACUGGAACUGAGACACGGUCCAGACCCCUACGGGAGGCAGCAGUGGGGAAUAUUGGACAAUGGGCGCAAGCUUGAUCCAGCCAUACCGCGUGGGUGAAGAAGGCCUUCGGGUUGUAAAGCCCUUUUGUUGGGAAAGAAAUCCAGCUGGCUAAUACCCGGUUGGGAUGACGGUACCCAAAGAAUAAGCACCGGCUAACUUCGUGCCAGCCGCCGCAGUAA